rfam:Myotis lucifugus cont2.27103, whole genome shotgun sequence.
AGCAGUUCUCAGGUGAUGCACCCCAGAAUCAAGCUCCCUCCUCUCUAGUUCCGGGUGCAUCACCCGAGAACCGCA